CCUACGGGUGGCAGCAGUGAGGAAUAUUGGUCAAUGGACGAGAGUCUGAACCAGCCAAGUAGCGUGAAGGAUGACUGCCCUAUGGGUUGUAAACUUCUUUUAUAUGGGAAUAAAAUGUUCCACGUGUGGGAUUUUGUAUGUACCAUAUGAAUAAGGAUCGGCUAACUCCGUGCCAACAGCCGCGGUAAUACGGAGGAUCCGAGCGUUAUCCGGAUUUAUUGGGGUGAAAGGGAGCGUAGGUGGUGUGUUAAGUCAGUUGUGAAAGUUUGCGGCUCAACCGUAAAAUUGCAGUUGAAACUGGCAGUCUUGAGUACAGUAGAGGUGGGCGGAAUUCGUGGUGUAGCGGUGAAAUGCUUAGAUAUCACGAAGAACUCCGAUUGCGAAGGCAGUUCACUGGACUGCAACUGACACUGAGGCUCGAAAGUGUGGGUAUCAAACAGGAUUAGAUACCCGGGUAGUC
rnacentral:rRNA from 1 species